ensembl:snRNA U6 U6 spliceosomal RNA
GUGCUCACUUCGGCAGCCCAUAUACUAAAAUAGGAAUGAUACAGAGAUUAGCAUGGCCCCUAUGCAAGGAUGACAUGCAAAUUCGUGAAGUGUUCCAUAUUUUU